GGGGAAAUAGCUCAGUGGUGGAGCAUGUGCUUACUGGCGUGCACAAGGUCCUGGCUUCAAUCCCCAGCAUCUCCA
rnacentral:tRNA from 1 species